CCUACGGGGUGCAGCAGUCGAGAAUCAUUCGCAAUGGGGGAAACCCUGAUGGUGCGACGCCGCGUGGGGGAAUGAAGGUCUUCGGAUUGUAAACCCCUGUCAUGUGGGAGCAAAUUAAAAAGAUAGUACCACAAGAGGAAGAGACGGCUAACUCUGUGCCAGCAGCCGCGGUAAUACAGAGGUCUCAAGCGUUGUUCGGAAUCACUGGGCGUAACGCGUGCGUAGGCUGUUUCGUAAGUCGUGUGUGAAAGGCGCGGGCUCAACCCGCGGACGGCACAUGAUACUGCGAGACUAGAGUAAUGGAGGGGGAACCGGAAUUCUCGGUGUAGCAGUGAAAUGCGUAGAUAUCGAGAGGAACACUCGUGGCGAAGGCGGGUUCCUGGACAUUAACUGACGCUGAGGCACGAAGGCCAGGGGAGCGAAAGGGAUUAGAUACCCCGGUAGUC
rnacentral:rRNA from 1 species